UGGCGGCAGGCUUAACACAUGCAAGUCGAACGCCCGAGCAAUCGGGAGUGGCAGACGGGUAAGUAACACGUGGGAACAUACCCUCAGGUUCGGAACAACGCCGGGAAACUGGCGCUAAUACCGGAUACGCCCUAUUGGGGAAAGGCUUGCUGCCUGAGGAUUGGCCCGCGUUCGAUUAGCUGGAUGGCGGGGUAACGGCCCACCAUGGCGACGAUCGAUAGCUGGUCUGAGAGGAUGGCCAGCCACAUUGGGACUGAGACACGGCCCAAACUCCUACGGGAGGCAGCAGUGGGGAAUAUUGGACAAUGGGCGCAAGCCUGAUCCAGCCAUGCCGCGUGAGUGAUGACGGCCUUAGGGUUGUAAAGCUCUUUCGCACGCGACGAUAAUGACGGUAGCGUGAGAAGAAGCCCCGGCUAACUUCGUGCCAGCAGCCGCGGUAAUACGAAGGGGGCUAGCGUUGUUCGGAAUCACUGGGCGUAAAGGGUGCGCAGGCGGGUUCAUAAGUCAGGGGUGAAAUCCCGAGGCUCAACCUCGGAACGGCCUUUGAUACUGUGGAUCUUGAGUCCGGAAGAGGUGAGUGGAA
rnacentral:rRNA from 1 species